CAUCAAAUAAGAUUUUAACUGCUUACUUUAUCUUCUCUCCAAGAAAUCAGUUUUCCUGAUUUUACUCCACGUUUAACGAAGUGCACCAGACUUUGACUACCAUGUUAACACGUUUCUCUACUGCCCAAGAAAUUGGAAAUUGCCUAAAAAUAAGGAAACUUAUUGUUAGUGGAGAAUUAAGUGGGCGUAGUGGUUAAGUCUUAUGCAUGCUAUAAAAGGAGAGUUAAGUUUUAUUUUCAAUAUGUCUGACUUUAGUGAGUCAUUCCAAAAUAGCGUAUGUUUAAACUGGAAGAGCAGUAGAAAAGAAUUAUAUUUUUUCUCCAUGUUUUUGAGUCAGUUCCUUCAGGUUCCAAGUUCCUUAUAAGUCUCAAAGUGUCCAACAUAUUAUUUUUAUAUAGUACAUCUUUCAUAUGUAUUUGGGAGUUGUUAAAGGGUUUUAGUGAACUCUUGUAAUGGGGAAUUUAUGAGGGUUUGAGUGAAUUCUUGUAUUGGGGUGAGAACUUGAAUGAGUUCUUUGUAUUAAGAGGAAGAUCAGAGUAAGAGUAAGAGUAAGGCUUUGAGUGAAGUCUUAAGUCGUUAGAGAGAGAGAGUUAAAGUAAUCAACUGAUUGAGGGAUUAGUUGAUUGGGGAACUCGGGUGCGUUGAGGAACUCGACAGAGGCUCAAGUUCCUUAUAGGUUGUAAUAGAGCCGUCGACCUAUUUUAGUGGAAUGUUUCGAGUCAAAAUCCCAUGGGGUCGAGGUUUUUCACUUCCUAUUUGGCCUAGGAAGUUUUCCUCGUAAAAUCCCUUUUAUACUAUUUCUCUAUUUUAGUUUAGUUUCUUUUAUUUCCGCAAAAAGUGACUAGCAACCUCCAUACUACAAUUCACCCCCCCUCUUGUAGUAUUUCAUCUAAAUAACUUUUGUAUCAGAGCAGGUUUCUCGAAGAAAUCAAGAAACCCUGAUGAGCAAGUUCUUGGCUAAGAUGAGUACGUAGUACAAGAAAAUUAAAGGAAGGAACUCAGCAUUGCGUUGUUCCAAGCACCAUGUGGAAAUUAGCUUUUACUAGAGAAGUGAAAGAUAUUCAAAGACUCAUACUUUUAAGGUUUAUAAAUCAUGAUUGAGACAACAUUUGAAGCAAUGGUCAACAUCAAAUUUAUCGUAAGAAAAGAAGAGAUGAAAACCCAUUUGAUUCGUUGAAAUAAGGAAGAGGAACUAACGCCCGGUGAUACUUACAAUGUUGAAUAAGUUCCAGUUCCACCAACAGGUUAUUUCCUUUCGAAGAUUGCAAUACAUAUCAACGAUUCAACCCAUAUGAACUAUAUUAAUAGAAGUUCCCUUAAGCAUUUUAUAGGAAUUUUUCUAAUGUGAGGAUAUUAUAUUUUCAACUGCUCAUUCUUUUUCUUAUGUUAACUCAUGUUGUCUAUUUUGUUAAUAUAAUGAUAAACUUAAUUAUUUCUUCAUGAUUUUUGUGCAGUUAAAUUUAUAAUUAUCUGUAGGCUUUAUAUCUUGAUUUAAUAAUUAGAAAUGCAUGAUAGCUAGUCUCAUAGACCUAAGGAACUGAACCUAAGGUCUGUUAGUAUUAGUUUAGUGAAUUCAAGAUGCAGGAACUGUAUGAAUGGUACAGGGAACUGCCUGGUAUGAUAUUAAGGUGUUAAAGAGUCUAAUGAACAAAGUUAUUUUCUUGUUUUCUAUUUUUGAAUGCCAAAACAAAAGAUUUCUUGUGAUUUGGUAUUAUUAUCAUGUUUCAGUUAUUAUAUCUUGGACUAACCUACUGAUCAUAGCACUACACAAUAUAAUUAAAAAAAUGUUCAUGGAAACCAAAAGAAUAUGUUACAGUUUAAGAUCAAGAGGAACAUGAAGAUAUAUAAAGACGAUAUCUAGUGAGGGGGAAUAACUCAUGGUAUCUCGACAUUGGGUGCUCCUAACAUGUGAUGGAAGGCACGACAAAAGUUAACUCGCUAGUGGCCUACGAUGGAAGAGCUUCAACUUUUGGCAUAUACUUAAAAGGUUGGUAAGUUAAGUUCCUACUCCAUUGUGAACAUUCUUUCGAGAUCAUGAAUCACAUUAUGAUAUGUUCAAAGUUUUGUAACUUUAUUUGUUUUACCAAUAACAAUUCAUCAUCUAUAAAACUAGAAGUGUCAUAUUGAAAGGGAAUCGAUGAAGGAACUCAUACUAUGUAUGAGGGUCACAAUUUGGUUCCUUACAAUAACCUGACAUUUCAAGGAUUUAUUGAAGAUGAAUUCUUCUGUAUCUCAAAUGUAUUUGACAUACUGAUUUUCCAUACUUGAUAAACAUCAAGAAACUUUAUUGUUAGUUUACCAUACAUCAAGUUCCUUACCAUAAGUUUGUGAAGUAUGAAAAGUGAGUGAUUCUGUCUAAUUUAUCUUCUUUCAAAGCAAAAUAAUGAUAAGGAACACAAACCUAUUGAAUCUCAUUCAUUUGGACUUUUGUGACUUUUUCAGUGUUUAUUUUGAAAGAGAUAUGUCUUGGUUAUAUUUGAUGAUUAUCAUAGGAAUAUUUAACCACUUUCCUUAGAAUAUAACAAAGAUUAUAUUUUUGUUAUCUUUUCUAUAAGGUAUUCGGUGAUUAAGUAGUAAUCAAAUGUUAUAUUAAAGAUCUAACCAUGGAACCAAGUUCCUUUGAAGUUUUAUAUUUUGUGCAGGAACAAAGUAUUGAUUACAAGCUCUCAAUGUUGAAAUCACUACAAAGUUAUCAAUGCUACUUGCUACAUCAUAUACAAGGAAAUGGUUAGACUUUUGAGAAACAAGGCACCCUUCAUUUGAAAAGGGAAGUUUGAUGAUAGAAGUGAUAAGGUGGUGUUCUUAUGGUGCACCUCCAAGUGUGAAACAUGUAAAGGUUACAACUAGGUAUUAAUGUGCAUUGAGUGACCAUAAAUUUUAUGAAACUAACAUGUUUGUUCCCAGCAUGUAGGUUUAAGAGAAUUUAGUGUUAAACUCAUUAGUUUCUUUGAGACUAGUGGAGUUUCUAUAGAAGUAUGUCACUUUAUAAAAGUAGCAUCAAUCAACUACAUUGUCCUACAGCUCCUUAGAAGCUCCAACAUAUCAUAAAGUGUUGGUUCCUUAAGGAACUUAGAGCAUAGCUUGACCAAGGAACAUAUGAAGCCUUACAACACGGUACAAAGGAACAAGCUAAGAUGCAGAACCUUGAACUUAUUCAGAAACACAAAAAAAAAUCAUUUGAUAAGUUUUUAUGAAUAUAUUUGAGCAUAGUUCCUAGAUCAAGGAACUUUGUCAA